GAAUUACUGGGCGUAAAGCGUGCGCAGGCGGUUCGUUAUGUCCGAUGUGAAAGCCCCGAGCUUAACUUGGGAAUGGCAUUGGAAACUGGCGGGCUGGAGUGCGGCAGAGGGGGGUGGAAUUCCACGUGUAGCAGUGAAAUGCGUAGAGAUGUGGAGGAACACCGAUGGCGAAGGCAGCCCCCUGGGCCGACACUGACGCUCAGGCACGAAGGCGUGGGGAGCAAACAGGAUUAGAUACCCUGGUAGUCCACGCCCUAAACGAUGUCAACUGGGUGUUGGGGAAGCGAUUCCUUGGUACCGUAGCUAACGCGUGAAGUUGACCGCCUGGGGAGUACGGCCGCAAGGUUAAAACUCAAAGGAAUUGACGGGGACCCGCACAAGCGGUGGAUGAUGUGGAUUAAUUCGAUGCAACGCGAACAACCUUACCUACCCUUGACAUGUCUGGAAGCCUGCUGAGAGGCGGGUGUGCCCGAAAGGGAACCGGAACACAGGUGCUGCAUGGCU
rnacentral:rRNA from 1 species